CAAUAGCGUAUAUUAAAGUUGUUGCAGUUAAAAAGCUCGUAGUUGGACUUGUGGUGGUCCCUGUGGUCCAAUUUUGGUACUAUCGGGGACUUCCAUCUUCGGGUGGAUCCUGUGUGGCAUUAGGUUGUCGUGCAGGGGAUGCCCAUCGUUUACUGUGAAAAAAUUAGAGUGUUCAAAGCAGGCUUAUGCCGUUGAAUAUAUUAGCAUGGAAUAAUGAGAUAGGACCUUGGUACUAUUUUGUUGGUUUGCGCACCGAGGUAAUGAUUAAUAGGGACAGUUGUGGGUAUUCGUAUUCCAUUGUCAGAGGUGAAAUUCUUGGAUUUCUGGAAGACGAACUAAUGCGAAAGCAUUUACCAAGGAUGUUUUCAUUAA
rnacentral:rRNA from 1 species